rnacentral:rRNA from 1 species
GACGUAGGGGGCCAGCGUUGCUCGGAAUUACUGGGUGUAAAGGGUUCGUAGGCGGUGUGGCAAGUCGGGAGUGAAAUCUCUGGGCUCAACCCAGAGUCUGCUUCCGAAACUGCUGUGCUUGAGUGUGGGAGAGGCGCGUGGAAUUGCAGGUGUAGCGGUGAAAUGCGUAGAUAUCUGCAGGAACACCCGUGGCGAAAGCGGCGCGCUGGACCACUACUGACGCUGAGGAACGAAAGCGUGGGUAGCAAACAGG